rnacentral:rRNA from 1 species
ACUGAAUGCAAUCAAACUCCGAAUGCCAUGUGAGUAUGCUCAGGAGUCACCGUGUGGGUGAUAACGUCCAUACGCGAAAGGAAAAGAGUCCAAGAUCGCCGAUUAAGGUCCCAAAAUUUGUGCUAAGUGGAAAAGGAUGUGGAGUUGUCAAAACAGCUAGGAGGUUGGCUUAGAAGCAGCCAUCCUUUAAAGAGUGCGUAAUAGCUCACUAGUCGAGUGACACUGCGCCGAAGAUGUACCGGGGCUAAGCACAAUACCGAAAUCGCGGAUUCAUAGAAUACUAUGAGUGGUAGGGGAGCGUUCCAAGGGCGUUGAAGGUUGAUCGUGAGGACAGCUGGAGCGCUUGGAAGUGAGAAUGCCGGUGUGAGUAGCGCAAGAUGGGUGAGAAUCCCAUCCACCGUUUGACUAAGGGUUCCUGGGGCAGGUUCGUCCUCCCAGGGUUAGUCGGGUCCUAAGACGAGGCCGAAAGGCGUAGCCGAUGGACAACAGGUUGAUAUUCCUGUACUAUCUAUAUGACUGAUGGAGUGACGGAGAAGGCUAGGAAGAGCCAGUUAAUGGAUUCUGGUCUAAGCACAAAGGUUUAUAAUUAGGGAAAUCCGGUUAUAGAUAAGCUGAAGUGUGAUGGUGAAACUGUUUACAGCGAAAUCUUCUGACGCCAUGCUUCCAAGAAAAGCUUCUAGGGCUAAUCAUAUAGGUACCCGUACCCAGAACCGACACAGGUGGUCAAGGAGAGUAUCCUAAGGUGAGCGAGAGAACCACGGUUAAGGAACUCGGCAAAAUAACCCCGUAACUUCGGAAUAAGGGGUGGUCGUUUCGGCGACCGACACUAAAGACGCCCAGGCAACUGUUUACCAAAAACAUAGGUUUCUGCAAAUUCGAAAGAAGAAGUAUAGGAGCUGACACCUGCCCAGUGCUGGAAGGUUAAGAGGAGUGCUUAGAUAGACGCAAGUCGAUGAUUCGAAGGUACGAAUUGAAGCCCCAGUGAACGGCGGCCGUAACUAUAACGGUCCUAAGGUAGCGAAAUUCCUUGUCAGGUAAGUUCUGACCCGCACGAAAGGUGUAAUGAUCUGGGCACUGUCUCAACCGUGGACUCGGUGAAAUCUUAAUACCUGUGAAAAUGCAGGUUACCCGCAUCAGGACGGAAAGACCCCAUGGAGCUUUACUGUAGCUUGAUAUUGAAGUUCGGUACAUUAUGUAGAGGAUAGGUGGGAGACUGUGAGACUAAGACGCCAGUCUUAGAGGAGUCAACCUUGGAAUACCACCCUUAAUGUAUUGGAUUUCUAACCUAGACCCAUAAUCUGGGCCAGGGACAGUGUCUGGUGGGCAGUUUGACUGGGG